rnacentral:rRNA from 1 species
CUACCCUUAGGACCGGGAUAACCUUGGGAAACUGAGGAUAAUGCUGGAUAGGCAAUUAUUCCUGCAAUGGUUUUUUGUUUAAAUGUUUUUUCGCCUAAGGAUGGGUCUGCGGCCGAUUAGGUAGUUGGUUAGGUAACGGCUUACCAAGCCAUUGAUCGGUACGGGUUGUGAGAGCAAGAGCCCGGAGAUGGAACCUGAGACAAGGUUCCAGGCCCUACGGGGUGCAGCAGGCGCGAAACCUCCGCAAUGUGAGAAAUCGCGACGGGGGGAUCCCAAGUGCCAUUCUUAACGGGAUGGCUUUUCAUUAGUGUAAAGAGCUUUUGGAAUAAGGGCUGGGCAAGACCGGUGCCAGCCGCCGCGGUAACACCGGCAGCUCUAGUGGUAGCAGUUUUUAUUGGGCCUAAAGCGUCCGUAGCCGGUUUAAUAAGUCUCUGGUGAAAUCCUGUAGCUCAACUGUGGGAAUUGCUGGAGAUACUAUUAGACUUGAGACCGGGAGAGGUUAGAGGUACUCCCAGGGUAGAGGUGAAAUUCUGUAAUCCUGGGAGGACCGCCUGUUGCGAAGGCGUCUAACUGGAACGGUUCUGACGGUGAGGGACGAAAGUUAGGGGCGCGAACCGGAUUAGAUACCCGGGUAGUCCUAACCGUAAACGAUGCGGACUUGGUGUUGGGGUGGCUUUGAGCUGCUCCAGUGCC